AAAUUGAUGACCUUUACUGGAAGGUGUUAUUAUUCGUUUCAUUUGUUUUUGUCUUGUUCGGGAGUAAAGUUAGAGAGUUCAUUAGCGUCAGCAAAAUGACCACCAGCGACCCACUACGAAUUCCACCUUUGGAACAGGGCAGAAAUGGUGAAAUUGUGUCAUCAUUCAGAGUACUUUCAAGCCAAAGUCAACAGGGGCGUGGGCUACAUGAAGCGACGGCAGGAUAGGAAAGAUAGGGUAUACAUUCUGGCACACAGCAGUCUGAACCUCCGCCAAAAC